AGUGAACGCUGGCGGUAGGCCUAACACAUGCAAGUCGAACGGCAGCACAGGAGAGCUUGCUCUCUGGGUGGCGAGUGGCGGACGGGUGAGGAAUACAUCGGAAUCUACUUUUUCGUGGGGGAUAACGUAGGGAAACUUACGCUAAUACCGCAUACGACCUACGGGUGAAAGCAGGGGACCUUCGGGCCUUGCGCGAUUGAAUGAGCCGAUGUCGGAUUAGCUAGUUGGCGGGGUAAAGGCCCACCAAGGCGACGAUCCGUAGCUGGUCUGAGAGGAUGAUCAGCAACACUGGAACUGAGACACGGUCCAGAGUCCUACGGGAGGCAGCAGUGGGGAAUAUGGGACAAUGGGCGCAAGCCUGAUCCAGCCAUACCGCGUGGGUGAAGAAGGCCUUCGGGUUGUAAAGCCCUUUUGUUGGGAAAGAAAUCCAGCUGGCUAAUACCCGGUUGGGAUGACGGUACCCAAAGAAUAAGCACCGGCCAACUUCGUGCCAGCCGCCGCGGUAA
rnacentral:rRNA from 1 species